UACAGAGUUACUACUCCAAACCCAUUGUGAACCUUACCUAUGUUCUGUUGCCUCGGCGGCGUCGGUCAGCGCCCCUCUGAAAAGAGGACGAUGCCCCUCCCGCCGGCAGCACCAAACUCUUGAAUUUUACAGCGGAUUACAGUUCUGAUUUGAAAACAAAAAACAAGUUAAAACUUUCAACAACGGAUCUCUUGGUUCUGGCAUCGAUGAAGAACGCAGCGAAAUGCGAUAAGUAAUGUGAAUUGCAGAAUUCAGUGAAUCAUCGAAUCUUUGAACGCACAUUGCGCCCGGCAGUAAUCUGCCGGGCAUGCCUGUCCGAGCGUCAUUUCAACCCUCGAACCUCCGUUUCCUUAGGGAAGCCUAGGGUCGGUGUUGGGGCGCUACGGCGAGUCCUCGCGACCCCCGUAGGCCCUGAAAUACAGUGGCGGUCCCGCCGCGGUUGCCUUCUGCGUAGUAAGUCUCUUUUGCAAGCUCGCAUUGGGUCCCGGCGGAGGCCUGCCGUCAAACCACCUAACAACUCCAGAUGGUUUGACC
rnacentral:rRNA from 1 species